CCUACGGGUGGCAGCAGUGGGGAAUAUUGGACAAUGGGCGAAAGCCUGAUCCAGCCAUGCCGCGUGUGUGAAGAAGGCCUUCGGGUUGUAAAGCACUUUCAGUGGGGAAGAAAGCCUUGGGGCUAAUACCCUCGAGGAAGGACAUCACCCACAGAAGAAGCACCGGCUAACUCCGUGCCAGCAGCCGCGGUAAUACGGAGGGUGCGAGCGUUAAUCGGAAUUACUGGGCGUAAAGCGCGCGUAGGCGGUCUGAUAAGCCGGUUGUGAAAGCCCCGGGCUCAACCUGGGAACGGCAUCCGGAACUGUCAGGCUAGAGUGCAGGAGAGGAAGGUAGAAUUCCCGGUGUAGCGGUGAAAUGCGUAGAGAUCGGGAGGAAUACCAGUGGCGAAGGCGGCCUUCUGGACUGACACUGACGCUGAGGUGCGAAAGCGUGGGUAGCAAACAGGAUUAGAUACCCUUGUGUC
rnacentral:rRNA from 1 species